UGGUGAACCAGCGGAGGGAUCAUUACCGAGUUUACAACUCCCAAACCCCUGUGAACAUACCUAUCGUUGCUUCGGCGGAUCCGCCCCGGCGCCCUCGGGCCCGGAUCAGGCGCCCGCCGGGGACCCAAAACUCUUGUAUUUCUUUAGUAUCUUCUGAGUAAACAAGCAAAUCAAUUAAAACUUUCAACAACGGAUCUCUUGGUUCUGG
rnacentral:misc_RNA from 1 species